GAUGAAGAACGCAGCGAAAUGCGAUAAGUAAUGUGAAUUGCAGAAUUCAGUGAAUCAUCGAAUCUUUGAACGCACAUUGCGCCCGCCAGUAUUCUGGCGGGCAUGCCUGUCCGAGCGUCAUUUCAACCAUCAAGCCCCGGGCUUGUGUUGGGGACCUGCGUCCGACGCAGGCCCUGAAAACCAGUGGCGGGCUCGCUGUCCACACCGAGCGUAGUAACUAACCUCGCUAUGGAGUGGCGCGGGCGCCUGCCGUAAAACCCCCAAUUUCACAAGGUUGACCUCGGAUCAGGUAGGAAUACCCGCUGAACUUAAGCAUAUCAAUAAGCGGGGA
rnacentral:misc_RNA from 1 species